CUCAUCUUAGGAAAUUCUGGCUGUCUUCCCAGACUAUUGCCUGUUCAUGUUUGCAACUAAAUCAACUAAGGAUGCUGACUAUUGUCCGAUCAUGUUUGCAAGCUAAAGCUACUAAGCAUGCUGACUCUAGCUGAGACAAACAAGGCUAUAAUUAUAGCAAAACUGGAUCAGUUUCACAGGGGUUGCCAGGUGCAAUUUUCAGCUGGGAGGGAUCUGAGACCCAAACAACUCAACAAUAUGAUGUAGACAAUGUCAAGUUGGUUGGUCACUUUGGAUUAUUUGCUUCUGACAAUUCAAGAGAAAAUCAAAUCGGCAGAUAUGAUGAGCGAGGCAAACAAGAAACACCCCAAAGAAUUUGAAGAUAUGAGUGGACGAAGUGAAGAAAUCACUCCAGAUAUGAUCAAUGUCAGUCGAGGUGUCGUACUCAGUCGCAGAAGUUGGAAGACUUUAGGCAGGAUGGCAUGCGUAACAAGGAUGGAUGCAAACAGAUAGGGACCUGGAGUCAUGGAUUGCGAGGACCACAGCCGACCCAAGAUGUAGUGACCCAUCUUUAAAGGGACUCCAUAAAGCCACCUUUACUUUCCCUGUGCCCAAGUGACUAAUGUUCGUGGGACAUUAAUUUUCAAAGAAAAAGAUUGAAAGAGAGCUCCACUUCUGUUAUCCUUGCAUUUGGAUUACAUCAAAAAUUUCAUCAUCUUGCCUUAAUAAAUUUUAUAUUGAAGGGGGCGGCAGCCAAUCUGAUAGAGGCAAAAGUAAUUGCUAGAAUUUUCCCCUCAUUUCAAACAAUUAGAUGUCUUGCCUUUCAUGCCCUCAGCCAUAUGCCCAGCCUUUGCAAACUCAUGUACCAACGAUGGCAUGACGCUCAAACUUAACUUUCAUUUGCAGCCACUUCCCCUCCUAAAUUUGCUGGGGAUGGAGAUCAUGAGCAGCCACCACUGCCGCACGCAGGGAAAAGGGAGGGCUUGCAAGCAGGAUGCUCCAUCUUGAAGGAUGGAAGAAGAGUUUGGAGCACUUUGGGAUCCAUGCAAUGGAUGAUCCUAUGAUAGAUUCGCACAAAUAAAGGAUUAUGGGUAAAUGGUUGUGGCACGGAGGUCUGGAGCAGAAUCCAGUGGCCCUGCGCCCGAGGUUGCAUCAGGAGGCGAGCUAAACCAUUUCCUGCUAGAAGACAAGUUGGUCAUUGGAUAAGGUUAGCAACGUGCUAGUGGAGGCCACCAUCUUUUUUGUGAAGUCUUGUAAGCGUAUCCGCGUCACAAUCACUAAAUCAACGACCUUUGCGGCCGCUACUUCUUGGAAGCCAGGGGGGCAAUCUCAUCUCUUGUUAAUGUUACUCCAAUUACACUCUUUUUGAUAUCUAUGUUAAUAUUAUUUCUUAGGAUAUUCAUUCUAUACUGUUUGGAUUGGAAGUGCCUAGAGAGUGGAGUCGAUUGUUCUAUGAA